GACGAACGCUGGCGGCGUGCUUAACACAUGCAAGUCGAACGCUGAAGCUCAGCUUUUGUUGGGUGGAUGAGUGGCGAACGGGUGAGUAACACGUGAGUAACCUGCCUCCUUCUUUGGGAUAACGCCCGGAAACGGGUGCUCAUACUGGAUAUUCACUGGUCUUCGCCUGGGGGUUGGUGGAAAGGGUUUUUCUGGUGGGGGAUGGGCUCGCGGCCUAUCCGCUUGUUGGUGGGGUGAUGGCCUACCAAGGCUUUGACGGGUAGCCGGCCUGAGAGGGUGACCGGGAACAUUGGGACUGAGAUAAGGCCCAGAGUAGUACGGGAGGCAGAAGUGGGGAAUAUGGGACAAUGGGCGAAAGACUGAUGCAGCGACGGCGCGUGAGGGAUGGAGGCCUUAGGGUUGUGAACCUAUGUAGCUAAAGGUGAGGCAGCAACAAUGGUUGUGGUGAGGGUAGUGAGUAAAGAAGCGCCGGCUAACUACGUG
rnacentral:rRNA from 1 species